AGGGAUCGUGUCCAACCCGAUUUGCUUGUAUCCACCCCAGUGCUUAGUACAGUGCCUAACACCUAGUAAGCGCUUAACAAAGUCCACAGAUAUUAUUAUCAUUAGUCCUUUUGUAAAAGCACCACUAAACUGUGAAAAUAAAGGAAAAGAUCUAUAUGUUCACACAACCCUUUCCUCUUCUCUCCCCUCUCCAGACAGGCUUACCUGCUUUUUUGAUUUAUUAGGCCACAGCUGUCCUAGUUUCAAAUGUGAACCAACACUCUGUAAAGACCACCCGAGCUGGAAUGUUACACAGCAACAGGUGCUUUCCAGCUAGUGAAUUAUGUUGCCUGGACUCCAUUCAGCUGUGAAAAAGCUAAAAAUUACUCUAUUCGAGCCUGGAGAAUCUUUUAUGUAGGAAAUAGCUGAAGUUACGGGAGGGAGUCGGAUGAAAUUUGAACACACGUACUAAACCAUUAAAGGGUCGAAUUCCCUGAUUCCUGGAGCUAUCGGGAUAGUCGUACCCGGCAGGCGGUGAUAGAAAUGUGUGGCUAAGGCUAUGAGAUGGAUUUGAAAUCUACACUAAGUGCCCCAGAGCUAGAUCGGUACUGACAAGGGGAGGCUGAGAACUGAUUUCAUUGUCCAGAUAAUUCGGGCAAAAAUCAAAACCACUGAAAUAUCCAGAUAAUCGAUCUCUGUCCGCUUCAGACCUCCAUUUCUGUCAGACCCGAUAGAAAUCAUCUGUUGACAAUAGAGGGUUUUUAUGAAGCCUCCGGUGCCUUAGUAGAUUCCUCCAGGGCAGAAAUAGAAUCGUAAACGUUUACGUUGCCAUACACCACGAAACACGGACAGCUAUACAUCUUCCAAGGUUGCUCCUCGGCAAUGUUUUGGCAGUGACAUCACUCGAGUCCCAUCAUUCACACUUGUGUCUCUUCUCCCCUCUGACUACUUUAGUUCCCGCACGGGGUUCGGGGCUUCAGACUGCAUUAGGAGAGCAACUGGAGCAGAGCAACACAAAGAAUAACGCCCUUGACCUAGGUCGUCCAAGACUGAGGCGAGGCCGAGAACAGGAGGACCAUCGCCUUCACGUUCGCGCUCAGGAGACUGACCGAAAUUUCGCCCCGCUCUUCGAGCGCUCUCUCGGCCGCUCUUGAGAAUGGAGAGAUCCACCAGGGAGCUGUUCCUCAACUUCACAGUGGUCCUGAUAACCAUAAUCCUCAUAUGGCUUUUGGUGAGAUCCUAUCAGUACUGAGAGACUAUAUAGCCAAAGCUCUUCGGAUUAAACCGCGCCGAGCGUCUACGGGAGCAUGUGACCGCUACCGUGCCGUGGGGCGGGGUGGGGGGAAAUCUCUCUCUCUGCGCCCCCAGCUACGAAUCUCGCAACCCGUGGGAGCUAAGCUAUGAGGCGAUUUUCCCGUUCUCCACAUUGUCUGCCGCUUGUGUUUAGCCCGACGGUCUUCGACCGGUUCUGCGUCGGUGGGAUUCUAGGGUCUCCAAAAAAAUGCUGCCUUCACAAGCAGGGCGGGUCGGCCGGAGGCCGUUAGAUUCGUUCCGCAACUCUGAGCGUAAGGGCCAGUGGGUCGACAAGUCUCCGCGUCGGUUUUGGAAUCGGGUUGAUUUCUCGUCCGGGGAUUGUAAAUGCAGUGUAUUUGACCUUGCAAAUUGUUACUGAGUCAAAUGGCCUCAGAGGGGGGAAAAUGUCAAAUCCGUUAUUGUCACGUCCUAUUACUUUCACCGAAAUAAAAGAAAAAAACGUAAAAACGGAUUUUAGAAUUUCUUUGCCCUCUCCUCGUAUUACUACGUCUGGAUGAAAGGGGUUAAAAUGGCACAAGAUAUGCCACUUUGAAACUACCUGAGGGUUCCAGCGGUCCGAGAUCUGAACAUAGGUUAAACCAGGGGCGUCAUAUCUCUUCUGGUCUUGGCCGUUUUCAUCUGUUAAACCUAUAUUCACUUCC
rnacentral:lncRNA from 1 species